CUCCCUCCAUCCACUAAGACCAGAGAUCAUAUCCACUCUCUCCCUCCAUCCACUAAGACCAUAGAUCAUAUCCACUCUCUCUCUCCCUCCAUCCACUAAGACCAGAGAUCAUAUCCACUCUCUCUUUUCAUCCACUAAGACCAUAGAUCAUAUCCACUCUCUCCCUCCAUCCACUAAGACCAGAGAUCAUAUCCACUCUCUCUCUUCAUCCACUAAGACCAGAGAUCAUAUCCACUCUAUCUCUUCAUCCACUAAGAACAGAGAUCAUAUCCACUCUCUCUCUUCAUCUACUAAGACCAUAUAUCAUAUCCACUCUCUCUCUCUUCAUCCACUAAGACCAUAGAUCAUAUCCACUCUCUCUUCAUCCACUAAGACCAUAGAUCAUAUCCACUCUCUCCCUCCAUCCACUAAGACCAGAGAUCAUAUCCACUCUCUCCCUCCAUCCACUAAGACCAUAGAUCAUAUCCACUCUCUCCCUCCAUCCACUAAGACCAGAGAUCAUAUCCACUCUCUCCCUCCAUCCACUAAGACCAGAGAUCAUAUCCACUCUCUCUCCAUCCACUAAGACCAUAGAUCAUAUGCACUCUCUCCCUCCAUCCACUAAGACCAUAGAUCAUAUCCUCGCUCUCUCUUCAUCUACUAAGACCAGAGGUCAUAUCCACUCUCUCCCUCCAUCUACUAAGACCAGAGAUCAUAUCCACUCUCUCCCUCCAUCCACUAAGACCAUAUAUCAUAUCCACUCUCUCUCUCUUCAUCCACUAAGACCAUAGAUCAUAUCCACUCUCUCCCUCCAUCUACUAAGACCAGAGAUCAUAACCACUCUCUCC
ensembl:lncRNA